GACGAACGCUGGCGGCGUGCUUAAUACAUGCAAGUCGAACGGACAGGCCCUGCUCUUGUGGGGUGCUCGAGUGGCGAACGGGUGAGUAACACGUGAGUAACAUGUCCCUGACUUUGGGAUAACUUCAGGAAACUGGGGCUAAUAUCGGAUAGGAGCUCCUGAUGCAUGGUGGGGGUUGGAAAGAUUCGGCGGUUGGGGAUGGACUAGCAGCUUAUCAGCUUGUUGGUGGGGUAGUGGCUUACAAAGGUUUUGACGGGUAGCCGGCCUGAGAGGGUGACCGGCCACAUGAGUACUGAGAUACGGCGCAGACUCGUACGGUAGGCAGCAGUGGGAAGUAUUGCACAAUAAGCGGAAGCCAGAUACGGCGGCGCCGCGUGCGUAAUGACGUCCUUCGAGUUGUGAACCGCUUUGUCCUUUAACAAAGCGGUAGUGACGGUAAUUGGUAAGAAAGCAACGGCUAACUACGUG
rnacentral:rRNA from 1 species